rnacentral:tRNA from 4 species
GGAGUGGUACUCAAGAGGCUGAAGAGGACUGAUUGCUAAUCAGUUAGGACGGGAAACUGUCGCGAGAGUUCGAAUCUCUCCCAUUCCGCCA